GUCACAUGUUCUUGUCAACGGGCCCAUCGUGGUUAUCACUACAAAAGUGCUGAACUUCCUAGCAUACUCUCACAGGACCUGAUUCAACUGUUAUUGCAUGCAAGGAAUUUUCACGGACUUCAUUACGAGUAGUUCAUGAAGCGUAGAUUUGAUAUCAUGCCAGAGAUGCUGAACUGACAAGUCCUAUCUUGGCUAGCAGUUCAAAGGAAGCAGCAGUGAGCCUGAUCAUUCCCCCAAGAUAUGCCUGCAAAGGGAAGUCUUCCUGUAUGCAUCUCCCAUUCCCGCAUGGAAAGGAGCGCCAACCAACUCCACAGCACCAUCUUCCCGUUCUCAGAUGGAAUGGCUGGCACUCCACAGUCUGAUGAUCCAUUCAAGCACAAUGGGUGUGUACUGGGUAUGAAGUUCAUCAUUUUUCCACUCCCCGCAUAGAGGAUAUAUGAUCUGUGGCUGUAUCACUUUUCUGCCCUUUUAUCCCCCACUCAGAUGGGAAUCUUGAAUACAGAGGGUGGUCCUGGGGGGCUUCCAGGGAACAAAGGGUGGAGUUCCAGACACCCAGAGUUGAU